AUAUUGGUGGUGUGGACAAUACUAGAGAAGAGCCUUGAAGCAUUCCCAAGCAUGAUAUAUAUUUUCAACAGGUUUCUAUUUGAAGCUCACUAUCUUACUGCAAAGUCU
rfam:Capsicum annuum cultivar Zunla-1 chromosome 2, whole genome shotgun sequence